AUUGAACGCUGGCGGCAUGCCUUACACAUGCAAGUCGAACGGUAACAGGUCUUCGGAUGCUGACGAGUGGCGAACGGGUGAGUAAUACAUCGGAACGUGCCCAGACGUGGGGGAUAACGAGGCGAAAGCUUUGCUAAUACCGCAUACGAUCUAAGGAUGAAAGCAGGGGACCGCAAGGCCUUGCGCGCUUGGAGCGGCCGAUGGCAGAGUAGGUAGUUGGUGGGGUAAAAGCCUACCAAGCCGACGAUCUGUAACUGGUCUGAGAGGACGACCCGCCACACUGGGACUGAGAAACGGCCCCGACUCCUAAGGGGAGGAGGCGUGGGGAAUAUUGGGAAAUGGGGGAAAGCCUGAUCCAGGCAAGCCCCGUGUGAGGAGAAGGUCUUCGGGUUUUAAAACUCUUUUUGUUGGGAGGAAAAGGAGUCAGGUAAAACCUUGGGGCACUGACGGUACCCGAAGAAAAAGCCCCGGCUAAAUUCGUG
rnacentral:rRNA from 1 species